CCUACGGGUGGCAGCAGUGGGGAAUAUUGGACAAUGGGCGAAAGCCUGAUCCAGCCAUGCCGCGUGUGUGAAGAAGGCCUUCGGGUUGUAAAGCACUUUCAGUGGGGAAGAAAGCCUUGGGGCUAAUACCCUCGAGGAAGGACAUCACCCACAGAAGAAGCACCGGCUAACUCCGUGCCAGCAGCCGCGGUAAUACGGAGGGUGCGAGCGUUAAUCGGAAUUACUGGGCGUAAAGCGCGCGUAGGCGGUCUGAUAAGCCGGUUGUGAAAGCCCCGGGCUCAACCUGGGAACGGCAUCCGGAACUGUCAGGCUAGAGUGCAGGAGAGGAAGGUAGAAUUCCCGGUGUAGCGGUGAAAUGCGUAGAGAUCGGGAGGAAUACCAGUGGCGAAGGCAGCCUUCUGGACUGACACUGACGCUGAGGUGCGAAAGCGUGGGUAGCAAACAGGAUUAGAUACCCGUGUAGUC
rnacentral:rRNA from 1 species